GGAGCGCCGAGGGAAUCUUUGAAAGCUCACGGCGCAGAGUCGGAGUUCGUGAACCAGAUGAAGAAGAUGGAAUUUCACAAAGGGCUCAAUACCUCGUACAAGAGGGCGGAGCCGAUUCCGCAGCUUCGGUGCUUGGAAGGCAAUGGUGCAAUGCUCGAAUAUCAAGAACGAUCGAAACCCUAAAUGGCAGUGCGAGGCAGAUCUACCUCGGCAUCUCAAAUUCCAUAAAACGACCAUAAAUUGCGAGGCAUUCACUUACCUAUUGCUCGAAGGCCUAUUUAAUGAUCGAAUUAUAGAGAGGGUUGCUCAAGGAGGAAAGUUCCACACCUCUUUGGGAACUGAGGAAUGGGAUUGUUUUGGCAACAGGGGUUUGAUUCGGUGAAAGACGAGAAAGUCCUUCAAGGCAGCUGCGGGUUGGAAUACAGCUUAAUCAAUAGCGGCAUGGCACAACCUCACACCUGCCCUGAUUUUCCUUGUUCACAUAGCUUCGUUUUCUAAGAACAGAUUGCUUCUCUGAGCUGAGAUCUGAAUGCUCCCUAUUCGGAGUUUCUCUGUGCAGAUUUGCAACCAAUUGCAGAUCGAGUCCACCGACACUUUUACACAGUAGGCCGAAAUGACACGAUGGAGGGCUGGACCGCGAGCUGGUUCGUGGUGAUCGGCGUCGUGGCCUACAUCAUCAACCGCAACGUGCAAACAUUCAGGAGCACAACAGGUUCAACUGCGCCCUAUCUACCCUCCUUAAAACCCUGAUCCCACCCUAGAAAGCCAGCGUGUGACUACAACACAAUCCAGUGUUGUGAAUCAUCUCAACCACGGUUAUACAUAGACUCGACUAAAGUUGAUGACCCCCAUGUCUAAACCCAGCGGAGGAGCGCGGAGGGCUGCGUGCCCAAGUCGUUAGAGCUCGCACAGCGUGGAGAGUAGAACGAAGCUCAUCCCUGUGCUCGAAUUGAAGGGGGAAGCCGCCAUCCCGAUCAGAGCCAUGAGCUUCGCCGUUCAAUUUGUGAGUGCUCUUCUUCUACUUCAGCAUGACCUCCCCGUCUUCGAGGUGAGGGGUGGUUUUCUCGCCAUCCUUCUGCAUCGGAGCAUCAGUUUGGUCAUCAAGCGAUGAAGACAAGUUGCUUCGUCCUCGCCAUGUCGGAGACGAAGGCUCUCCAUUUGGACGAAGAAUAUGUUUCGGGUGUUAAAAUGUUUGCCAUAGAUGCACAUUUAAGUGUUAAUAUACUUUCGUAUUUUCCUCUUCGAACAUGAAAGUAAACAAAUACGACAUUAGGACAUUUUUAUUUAUUUAUUUAUUUAUUUAUUUAUUUUUAAAUUACAGUUCACGGUGAGAACCAACAAUUUGCAAAAAUGUAAUCGUUAAAGUAGUAAUUCUCUUUCUGAAAUCUAUCUUGGAAAUUUUGAUUCUACUACAUCAAAAAUAUCACAAAACAAUGGAGAGCACUGGAUCAAUAGAAAGCUAAUCAAUCCAGUUCUCUUGUUGGUCAUUAUUCUA